UUUCUCAGUUUAAAUACCAUCGCUCUUCUCUUUCUUAUCAUUGUUCUGCUUGAAUUCGAUCACGCGUGUUUCGUAACCUUCAGAAGAUACUUCUUCACAUCAGUGUUUUCGGAAUUGAGAUUUUGAAGAACCGAGUAUGCGGUCAUCGUCUUCUCUUCUGGUAGGGCUCCUUUUCCUGUUGGUGAUAAUGAGCUUCGAUGCGAAAACAGCGGAAGCCAGACGUUGUACGAGAAUCUGCGAGAAAGGAAGAUGCAGGCCUAUAUGUAUGCGAGAUGCUGGAUUCGUGGAGGAAACACCUGUAGAUGAGACAGAAAAUAAGAAGACUAUAGGCAUUCCGUAAGGAAACCGGAGGCCAAAAUGUUUCUCAUUUUCAGGUUUUCAGAUAUUUUGAAAAAUGAUAAUGACAUGCUGAAGAUGGAUUUAAGAUCUCCUUACUUGCUGAGUGAUUUUACAAGAAUAAACCAAAUAUUCAAGUUCUUUUCUCUGUAUCCUUAUGCGUAGACUCUGUCCCCAAUAAUAUAUUUCCUUCCUUUUGUUUCCUUUUUGUCGUUGCCAUUGUGUGAAUAAUUGCAUACAUUUCCCUAAGGAAUAAAAGCUGUCCAUGUAUGUUUUCUUUUAAGAGGAUGGAUCUAACUCAAACUAAAUAUUAUUCAUUCUGCAAAUAUAUUUGUACUUCCAUCUUUGACCUUUUAAAUAAUUUAAUUAAGAGUUUCGAUUUGUUAUUCCAACAAAUGCUUAUCUGAAAUUUUAUUCAGCAACGUUUAUUCUAGUUAAAUAUUAUAUUAGUGUUGUAGAACUGUGCAUUAUGAAUAAAUCAAUAAGACGAAAAA